UUCUAAAUUUUCUCUACCCAUAAAUCUAAUUUCACUCUUUAAUCUGUUUCGUAUAAGGCAAAUUAUUGUUAUUUUAGUGUUAUCUAUUUUAAUAAAAGUUUCAUUCGUAAUCUUGCAACCUUUUAUGUUCUAUAAAUUUGUGAAUUUUGUGCUGCGAAGUUGGUGUUUCUCAAUUUUUUGGGUGCAUUUAGGUUGAGGGUUUUGCGAUUUUUGUUAAAUCUCAUGGGUAAGAAAAUUUUUCAUAAGAUUCUUGUUAAAAAUCGGAAUGAGGAUUCCGAUUUUAUUGAUUCUCCGCCCAAUACUUCCAAUUCUUCAUAUGCAAAUACACUUCUAUAUCACAGUAGGAGUAAAAAAUGUUUAGGUGUUAAAAAAAUUGCUCAAAAUCGAAAGGUUGUUGAAAGUGAGGAUGAUGACAAUGAAGAAUGAUUUUCGAAUGAUGAAAAAGUUGUGGUUGAUAAUCGCCUUCUCCAGGAGUGGAAUUUUUAUGUACCGAAGGAAAAAAAAUUCACAAAUGCUCGCUUUAGCUGUCAUGUGAAUACAUGUAUUGUAGAGUUGUUAAAAUCAACUAUUUCUGAAGUGCAACUAAAUAUGUUUAGAAAACCAAUUUUUGAAUACUUUCUUGAUAUGCCUCCAUUCAUUGUUCAGAAUCAACUUAUUUGUUACUUGAUGAAAAGAGAGGUAGUUCAGAAUUGUAGUGACAAAUUUUAUGUUAAUAUUCAUGGCAAUAUAUUUUGCUUUGAAAUA